AAACCUUCAACUGGGCCAAAUACCUGGAGGAGAAGGGAACCAUAGCUGCACCAGUAUGGCUCUUCAACACACUUUUAUCUACCAAGUAUCAUACAGAUGGCUUGAGUAACGGCUUCGCUCAGAACAUUAAGUUGAAGGCAGUGGACCUGAUGGAGCCUCGGCUGGUGUGCGUGGCCACUGAGAGACGCUGUGUGGGCCGGCUGCUGCUGCACCUUGACCUUGAUGGCUGGGAGCCAGACUUUGACAAGUGGGUGGACUACCAGAUAUCAACCCGGUGGGCUGGUGUGAGGUCACAGGAUACCAGCUCCAGCCACCCAUUGGACCAGAUCCUGUCGCAAGAAACACAAGCCCAUGGAGAAAAAUGAGAAAGGGAUGGUUAAGAAGAAACUGGCAAACUUAUCUCCAAGAGCAAACUGUCUGAACCAGAGGCUGGAACACCAGAACAGUCAGACUUUGUCUUGUAUUCAAACAGGUUUCUCCUUGAAAUGUAAUUCAGUUGCUUACCUCAUUGUGAGACUGUCAGGUUUUUGUUGAUGCAGGUAACAAUGAGUGAGAUUUGUUCACACACACACUUUUAGGCACUUGCCAAGGUGCACCCAGAGAUGGCCAAGAGCAAUACCAGCAGAGUCCAUAAGGCUGCGUGACAGACCAUGGAAUACAUCUGGUAAAUCAAAGGCGAUUCAUUUGGCUGAGCAGAAAUUCUAC